rnacentral:rRNA from 1 species
CCUACGGGCGGCAGCAGUGGGGAAUAUUGCACAAUGGUCGAAAGCCUGAUGCAGCAACGCCGCGUGAGCGAUGAAGGCCUUCGGGUCGUAAAGCUCUGUCCUCAAGGGAGAUAAUGACGGUACUUGUGGAGGAAUCCCCGGCUCACUACGUGCCAGCAGCCGCGGUAAUACGUAGGGGGCUGGCGUUAUCCGGAAUUACUGGGCGUAAAGGGGGCGUAGGUGGUUUCUUAAGUCAGAGGUGAAAGGCUACGGCUCAACCGUAGUAAGCCUUUGAAACUGGGGAACUUGAGUGCAGGAGAGGAGAGUGGAAUUCCUAGUGUAGCGGUGAAAUGCGUAGAUAUUAGGAGGAACACCAGUUGCGAAGGCGGCUCGCUGGACUGUAACUGACACUGAGGCACGAAAGCGUGGGGAGCAAACAGGAUUAGAUACCCGAGUAGUC